rnacentral:lncRNA from 1 species
UCGUUUUUUAGAAGAUUAUCGCCUUCUUCUCAACGGCGGAGAGCGCUCGAAAUACAUUCGAGUAGUUCGGAUUCAUCCGGGUCCGGAUCAGGAGCUGCUGUAUUUCGGAGUCGGAGCGUUUCAAGUACUUCAGUAUUCAGUAGAUACUUGAGAAGAAGCAGUAGAACUUGGGUACCGGAAGAGGGUAAUGGAGUAACUAGAUGGUAAUUAUUUUGGGAAAAAAUGAUAAAAAUGUCAUUAUUCAAUUAUUAUUUACUAAGAAAACAGAAAAUUCGUCACGGAGCAGUCGAUUAGAGGUAGAAAAGUGGCAGACCACAGCUUAUUGAGAAAUAUGGCAUAAUUUCUCGAGCAUUAUCUAUCGACUUUCAAACUGUGUGCGAGAUGAUUUUUCGGUGAUAAAAGAAUUGCUAUAUAAUUUCCCUAAUUUAUCUUGGAUUCAUUUUGUGACAAUGAAAUGUAAAAAGCUGGCCAUUUUGGAGGAAUCUGUAAAUAGAGAGGGCUUUGAUAUGGAAUUGAAUAUACUUUUUAC